AACCCAGGGGACUGACGUGCCCCUCUCCCAGGGCUGACCCUGGUGCCUUCCCUUCUCGCAGAGGGAGAGCACAGCCGGGAGGAGACAGCAGCUCUUGCUUUUGUGCCUUUGAUUCCACUCAGGAGCCCGUCUGACACAACGCUGGGUAGUCACAGGGCUGAGAUUUUACCUCUGGGGAGAAGGACAGACAGACACCACAGCUCCUCUCUGCUUGAAACAGCGCCCCAGAGGUCGAUUGUCCAGCUGGCUGCUGAGCCACAGAUCCAAGGGGGAAGGACAGGACAGGUGGUCACCAAAAGUCCCCAGGGGCGAGCGUGGUGCCAAAGCAGGCUGGGUGGAGACCAGCAGUGCUCUGCCCUGUGCCCUCCUGCAGGAGGUGUGCUCACUCACAUGCGUGCUGUUCUUCACUUAGUUGCCUCCCCGGCCUCAGUACCAGGCUCCUGGGGUUGCAGCCCACAGAUCUGCCAUUUUGCCUCAGGACACAGCUGCCUCCCGUCUCGGACCAAGCUGUUUCUGCCACGGGGCUUCUGUAGCUCUCAAUAGUCCAAUCAUAACUUAUUUGUGCAGAUUUUAACAAAGUUUGAUUCUUCAUUUCAUAAAUUAAAGAUCUUUUCUGUA